CACAGCAACAUUCACAGCUAAUGGGAAGAAUGGGAAGUGACCUCGCUGUUUGCUUUGAUAAGAAAGAGCCUUGCUUUUAUUACCAGCUAAUCAAAUGGGAAUUUUGGGACAAUAAAAAAAAAAGCAAUUUGGAACUCUGUUCAUCUUUUGGAUACUGAUGAUUAUUCUCUCACACGUGCCUUCUUUUUUAACUGUAAGUGGAAAGGAACAAGUCCUU
rnacentral:lncRNA from 1 species